GACAGAGGGGGCAAGCGUUGCUCGGAAUCACUGGGCGUAAAGGGCGCGUAGGCGGGAUGGCAAGUCGGUCGUGAAAUCCUCGCCACCGAAGAACGUCGGCCGAUACUGCCAUUCUUGAGGGAUGCAGAGGAGACUGGAAUUCCCGGUGUAGCGGUGAAAUGUGUAGAGAUCGGGAGGAACACCGGUGGCGAAGGCGGGUCUCUGG
rnacentral:rRNA from 1 species